UUAAUUUUUGAAAUCUAGUAA
rnacentral:piRNA from 1 species